AUCCUUCUUUUCUUCUCAGGUUCACAGAAGGAUGCCCCUGGUUGUCUUUCGGUUGUGGAGUUGUAACGCAAGGACCUCUCUCCCCGUCUUUGGGUAGGAAACCGAUGGGUGGUUUGUAUGCGUGUGAGAGAGCGCGCGCGCAGGCGUUUGUGUGUCUCCUUGUGUGUCAGUUUCUUCCUCAUCAGUAGUUGCGGGCUGCCUUGCGAAGACGUGGCUAGCUGACGUGAGGGUGAACUCCGAGGCAUCUUCAACGUGGAGGAGGUCCCCUCUCCAAUCUUUUCCUGCGUGAGCCUUCCAGGAUUCCCCGUAAGGGGGCGAGGGGACAAACACACCCCAAUUGUGGACAUCAAACUGAAAUACUUAGUAGUUCCAGGGAAGCCUUUUCUCAGUCCGACGGUUUUUUUAAAUAGGAAAGGGUGAAGGAGGGGGAGGGACUUCAGGUGUUUCCAUUCUCAUUCCCGAUGAAUCUUUGUCACAGGAGGGGGAAAAAACCGCACAGCUGAAGAGGUCGUUUCCCGCUGUACAAUGUGUUUUGGCUUUGCUGAAGAUGCUUCCUUUUGCACCACAGGGUGGUUGUUGAUGCUGAACCCUUGAUCGGUCUUGAAGAUGUUUCUCUUUGGGAUUACACGUGGCGGAAGGUGGUCACUCCAAGGGAGAGCUGGCUGGUGAGACUUGCCUGACCACCCUCCUUUUUUUUUUUUCCUCUGGGGAAGGCAGUGGCUUCAAUGGCUCCAUCUCCCAGGAAAAGCAGCAGGAAAGAUGCCAGUGCUUUGUCAAGCGCAUCCUCAACUUUCUGGGCAAUUAUGAUCUUGGUUGGCCUCUUAAUUGCCUACUGCAGUCAAUUGGCUGCAGGUACAUGUGAGAUUGUUACUUUGGACAGAGACAGCAGUCAGCCCCGAAGGACUAUAGCCCGACAAACAGCUCGUUGUGCAUGUAAAAAAGGACAGAUUGCCGGUACAACGAGAGCAAGGCCAGCCUGUGUUGAUGAUACGACAGCUUCUUUGCUGACUCUUUGGUUUGUUGUGAUGGACUGCUGGCCCAUUUCACGCAUUAUAAAAACAAAACAGUGGUGUGAAAUGCUUCCAUGUUUAGAAGGAGAAGUCUGUGAUUUGCUAAUCAAUAAAUCAGGCUGGACCUGUACACAACCAGGUGGGCGAAUAAAGACAACUACGGUGUACUCUGUCUGAAGAGGUGCCUGGUCCAAAGAUAAAGAAUCCUAAGAAGGGAGAGCAGGGGCCUUGAAGCUGCUCAUCAACAGUUAGCACCUGGACAGCAGACUGAACAGGCAUGCAGGUCACCCCGUCUUCACUACAAUGGUCUCCUGACAAAUGCAGCAACAGAGAAGCCUUGUAGGAGUUUUUCAGCUCUGUGUGGGCUACAUUCCCUAGUCAAGUUUCACUGCUGUGGAUCAUCCAUUAUAUGUCAUCAAUCCAACUGUCUAUUUCUCUGUAUUUCAUCACAGACAGCAUAAUUCUACGUUAUGAGCUAAAGUCUGUUCUACCAUACAAAAGAGCACUGGACUAAGGAAUAGAGAUGUAAGAGAAACCCUUGGGCAUUAGCAAUACGAAAACAAAAACCACCAGUUUACAGUUAACGUCUCAUCUGCGUUAUGCACCACUGCUGGACUUGAUCUGUGGUCAUGUUUCAAUCUGAAGAGUCGACUACACUGGAGAGUAUUCAUCCCAAUCAGCCUUAGAGAAGACUGUUUUGUCUAUGGGAGGACACUAAGGUGCAGAACACUAUUUCUUCUUGUGCCCUAGACUGCCUCAUUGCUUUUAUUUUCUUAUGUUUCAGUAUAUACAAAAGACCAAAGAGCAAAAUCUAUUUUGAAGUGGACACAAUGUUACUGUUAACAAGAUUAUUUGGGUUCCGUAGUAUGGGGACCACCCUGCACGAAUUCAGCUCACCCAGCGCUGCAAUAUUGCUGUCCAGCAAAAGUCUUUAUGGAACACUACAGAAAAAGCUGGAACUGCUCUUGGAAAAAAGUAUACUAAAAAACACAAGGGAACAAAGAGAGGAAAUGGCCGAAAGAACUUUGUUUCAAAACAACACAAACUGUCUACGCACCACCUUUACUCCUCUGUGCUUAGAUUGACUUCUUGUACUAAAAUCAUUUUAAGUUUAACCAGUUCAACAUGCCUCUUCUAUGGUUCCAUUUUUUGAUCGUUAAAAGUUGGAUAAUACAGUAUUUGCAAAGAGCAUGUUUGGUCAUCUGUGGCCUAUGUCUCAUCUGAUACACCAUUUAGCACCAGAAAGCAAAUCCGGGGGGGGGGGUGGAGUAACACUUGUUUGAAAGAGAUCAUUAAAUGUAUUUUGAAAAGCCUAAAGUUAUAUAUUUAACAGUUUUUAUAUGUUGUAUAUUUGUAGAAAAUCCUAUUUAACAAUUAACGUGGUAACUCUGACAGUCAUGACACACACAAAAAAGGUUCAGAGUUGAGUUGUUGUUUUAUUACUUCAGUUGUCUCUGAAGUGACUGGUGUAGUUUGCUUUCUUCCAUUGGGACAUUCUGGAUGUAAAGCAUGACCAGAGGACUCUGUAGAAAAAGCAAAGAAUAAUGUUUAUAUUACAUAAAUGCAUUCAACCAUUGCACUGUUGGAAGGCUUUCUCUCUCUCUCUUUCUCUCUCUGUGUCUCUCUUUUUUCUCUCCUUUUCUCCCCUUUUUCUUUGAGGAGGGUGGUCUUUUAUAUACCAGUUAAGCAGUGUAAAAUAUUUUAAUCAUUUACUUUCCAUACUGAAUUACAUUCUUCUUUCUCUGUUUUCUCCCCUUCCUUUCCAAUUUGGUAUAAGGGUCAGCUUUCUCCUUUAUCAAGAUAUAGGUGGUUUGUUUGGUUUUUACCUCAUACUUUAGAAAAAACCCUUGUUCAAUAUUAUAAGGUAAUGAAAAGAUGAAGAAGAGUGCUAUUUGAGAAACAGGGCAAGGAAAUAAGAUAGACCAAUAACCUCCAGACAUGGUACCUUUUUGUCUACAAGUCUGCCUCAUAGUGAUAUGACGAGGCCAACAAAUGGGCUUUCAUCCUUCCCCACAAACAUUUGCCAAUAGUAAACUUUUCCCCCAAUAUCCAUUGUAGUAUACUACCUAAAUACUCCAAUUAACUUUUAGUAUUAUGCUAGUUCUAUGCUACUAAAGAAAAAAUAUAUAGGGAUUGUUCAAGCAACCAUAGAUGAGAGGUAUGAAAAGGAAGUUCAUUUAUUUAAGACCUCUUCCAAUUUUCAGAAUUAUUUUAAUGUACAGGAUGAGGAAACCAUGAAUUGUAGGUGACAGUAUCUAUGAAUAAAACGUGCAUGGAUAGUCUUAUUUCAACCUAAAAGUUUUGAUCAGUUUCCAAGUAGCAAUUAAAGCCAAACCACUCAUAAACCAUUAUGAACUGACUGCACUAUAAAUGACCAAUGUCUCAUUCAAAGUGUCAUGCAAUAAAUGAUGGUAGAUACUUCACCUGUAUUACAAGAAUUGGAGAGCCAGAUCCCUCACUCCACUGAUUUUCUCUUCUGUUAGGGUUUUAUUUUUUGAAGGGAGUGUAGUAGCCUUAUUUAGUAAAUACUGAACAAAAAAUUAAAAUGUUUCAACAUUUUUGUUGCUUUACGGUAUUCAGUUUUGUGUUGGUUCAGCUAAAUUAUGAAAAGAAAU